GUGGGGAAUAUUGCACAAUGGGGGAAACCCUGAUGCAGCCAUGCCGCGUGUGUGAAGAAGGCCUUCGGGUUGUAAAGCACUUUCAGCGAGGAGGAAAGGUUGAUGCCUAAUACGUAUCAGCUGUGACGUUACUCGCAGAAGAAGCACCGGCUAACUCCGUGCCAGCAGCCGCGGUAAUACGGAGGGUGCAAGCGUUAAUCGGAAUUACUGGGCGUAAAGCGCACGCAGGCGGUUGGAUAAGUUAGAUGUGAAAGCCCCGGGCUCAACCUGGGAAUUGCAUUUAAAACUGUCCAGCUAGAGUCUUGUAGAGGGGGGUAGAAUUCCAGGUGUA
rnacentral:rRNA from 1 species